ACUAGUAGCUAUGCCGGAUCCAGCAGUCGCCUGGGACAAGGCGACUCCUCCAAACACAGUCCUCCUGUCAGAACAUGUGUUGAGAAACGACAUAAGAUAAAGGUUCUUGCUGAUGUUUUUGCGGAGAAUGACGCAGCUGCUGAAUCAGAAGCUGCAGAGUUUAGGAAGAGCUAGCACUAGAGAGUUCACCGGCGUUUUCAUGCGCCAUUUCCAUUGAGUAGAACAGCC